AUAUUUCAAGGGUUUCCAUAAUCAUGUGAGUGAAAGUCUAAAAAACUAAUUAUGCACCUACUUUUGUAUUUUUCUAACUAAAUUAGCUUUAAUUAAUGUGCUUAUUAGUAGUUAACAUGCCAUAUUAUUAUUAUAUAAAGUUAAAGGACACCCUAAUCAACUUCCUUAACCUAAUUGAUUAUCUAUGCCUCCUUAUAUUUUAUUUUUC
rnacentral:lncRNA from 1 species